rnacentral:misc_RNA from 1 species
GAUGAAGAACGCAGCGAAAUGCGAUACUUGGUGUGAAUUGCAGAAUCCCGUGAACCAUCGAGUCUUUGAACGCAAGUUGCGCCCGAAGCCACUAGGCCGAGGGCACGCCUGCCUGGGCGUCACACGCCGUUGCCCCCCCAUCUACUCCUUCGGGAUUGCGGGGGGGCGGAUGAUGGCCUCCUGUGCGCCUAGCCGCGCGGUUGGCAUAAAUACCAAGUCCUCGACGACGCACGCCACGACAAUCGGUGGUUGCGAAACCUCGGUUGCCCGUCGUGUGCGUUCGUCGCGCAUCGAGGGCUCGAAAAAAUGCUCGGCUCCGGCUGGGCUUUCAACGCGACCCCAGGUCAGGCGGGGUUACCCGCUGAAUUUAAGCAUAUCAAUAAGCGGAGGA